AUACUUACCUGGUAGGAGAGAUACCAUGAUCUGGAAGGUGGUUUUCCCAGGACAGGGCUCACCCACUGCACUCCGGAUGUUCCGACCGCUGCGAUUUCCCCAAAAUGUGGGAAACUUGACUGCAUGAUUUCUGGUAGUGAGGGACUACAUUUAUGCUCGCUCAUG